rnacentral:rRNA from 1 species
ACGGGAGGCAGCAGUAGGGAAUAUUGCACAAUGGGGGGAACCCUGAUGCAGCAACGCCACGUGUAGGAAGAAGCAUUUCGGUGUGUAAACCACUGUCGUGAGGGAAUAAUGCUUAAUUUCGGUUAGGUUGAAUGUACCUCGAAAGGAAGCAACGGCCAACUUCGUGCCAGCAGCCGCGGUAAUACGAGGGGUGCAAGCGUUGUUCGGAAUCACUGGGCGUAAAGGGAGCGCAGGCGGAGAUGCAAGCAGUCUGUACAAUACCGGGGCCCAACCCCGGACCGGCAGACUGGACUGUCUCUCUUGGGUAGUUCAGGGCAAGCGGAAUUCCUGGUGUAGCGGUGGAAUGCGUGGAGAUCAGGAAGAACACCGAUGGCGAAGGCAGCUUGCUGGGGACUCAUCGACGCUCAUGCUCGAAAGUGCGGGUAGCAAACAGGAUUAGAUACCCUGGUG